rnacentral:rRNA from 1 species
GAUGAACGCUGGCGGCGUGCCUAAUACAUGCAAGUCGAGCGAACAGACGAGGAGCUUGCUCCUCUGACGUUAGCGGCGGACGGGUGAGUAACACGUGGAUAACCUACCUAUAAGACUGGGAUAACUUCGGGAAACCGGAGCUAAUACCGGAUAAUAUAUUGAACCGCAUGGUUCAAUAGUGAAAGACGGUUUUGCUGUCACUUAUAGAUGGAUCCGCGCCGCAUUAGCUAGUUGGUAAGGUAACGGCUUACCAAGGCGACGAUGCGUAGCCGACCUGAGAGGGUGAUAGGCCACACGGGAACUGAGACACGGUCCAGACUCCUACGGGAGGCAGCAGUAGGGAAUCUGACGCAAUGGGCGAAAGCCUGACGGAGCAACGCCGCGUGAGUGAUGAAGGUCUUCGGAUCGUAAAACUCUGUUAUUAGGGAAGAACAAAUGUGUAAGUAACUAUGCACGUCUUGACGGUACCUAAUCAGAAAGCCACGGCUAACUACGUG